AGAAGAGGGAGGUUAUUGGGGUGUGAUGGUUAAUUUUACGGGUCAACUCGACUGGGUCACGGGGUGCCCAUAUUAAACACUGCCUCUGGUUGUGUCUGUGAGAUUAGCAAAUUAGAUUAGCAUUUGAAUCAGUGGACUCAGUAGAUGGCCCUCCCCAGUGUGGGUGGGCAUUCUCCAAUCCUUUGAGGCCCUGAAUACAGCAAAAAGCAGAGAAAGGAGGAAUUCACUCCUUUUGCUCCUGUCUCACUGCUUAAGCAGGGACAUCUCUUCUGAACUAUGCCAUCAGCUUUCCUGAGUCUCCAGUUUAUAGGCAGCACAUCAUGGGACUUCUCAGCCUCCAUAAUCCCGAAUACAAAAUACAUCCACCAAAUGGAUACCAUGUACCUGAGGAUUCAUGAAUCUGCCCUAGCAACAGUCCUGCAUCUGGUUUUGAGCACACUUUUUGCAAAUGGAGCUACUACUUGACUGAGCUCGGGUAGUCCACCUUGAUACAGAACAGAGAGGGAGCUUGUGCAAAUUCACAGAGAAAACUGUGGAGCCAGAAAAGACAUACUGUUCUUUCCAAUAUGAUGUGGAAGUCUGAAAGAUUAGGAAUUGUUUGGUAAGAAAAAAAUAUACAUAGCUAUUUGUGGAUGACAAUGCCCUGACACUGUUCCUCCUUUCUGUCCUUGGUUGGGGGCCUGCCUCAUUUCUCAUUGAGGGGAAUUCCUUCAUCAGGACCUGCUACGCUAAUGGUCACGGACCAAUGUUCUUUUUGCUGUUUGAACAGAAUGCUUGCCUUGUGUAUGUCCAGUCACAAAGUUCCCUUGAUAAAAACCAUAUGAAAAUACCACAAAGCCAAAGGGCAAUAAAUAUUGUUACAUAGA
rnacentral:lncRNA from 1 species